UUAUUUACCUGGCAGGGGAUUAAGGUGGUUUACUAGGGCGAGGCUUAUCCACUGCACUCUGGGAGUGCUGACCCCUGUGAUUUCCCCAAAUGCAGGAAACUCAACUGCAUAAUUUGUGGUAGUAGGGGACUGUGCUUGUGCUCUCCCCUG
rnacentral:snRNA from 1 species